rnacentral:rRNA from 1 species
UACGGAGGGGGCAAGCGUUGUUCGGAGUUACUGGGCGUAAAGCGCGCGUAGGCGGUGCGGUAAGUCAGGGGUUAAAGGCUGCAGCUCAACUGCAGUAAGGCCUUUGAUACUAUCGUGCUAGAGUGUCAGAGAGGAUGGCGGAAUUCCUGGUGUAGCGGUGAAAUGCGUAGAUAUCGGGAGGAACACCAGUAGCGAAGGCGGCCAUCUGGCUGAUAACUGACGCUGAGGUGCGAGAGCGUGGGGAGCAAACAGG